AAAGGGUGCGUAGGCGGCUUUUUAAGUCAGGGGUGAAAGACGGUAGCUUAACUAUCGCAGUGCCCUUGAUACUGAAGAGCUUGAAUAUAGUUGAGGUAGGCGGAAUGUGACAAGUAGCGGUGAAAUGCAUAGAUAUGUCACAGAACACCAAUUGCGAAGGCAGCUUACUAAGCUAUGAUUGACGCUGAGGCACGAAAGCGUGGGGAUCAAACAGGAUUAGAUACCCUAGU
rnacentral:rRNA from 1 species